GACGAACGCUGGCGGCGUGCCUAACACAUGCAAGUCGAACGGAACUGUUUUGAAAGAUUUCUUCGGAAUGAAUUUGAUUUAGUUUAGUGGCGGACGGGUGAGUAACGCGUGAGUAACCUGCCUUCAAGAGGGGAAUAACAUUCUGAAAAGAAUGCUAAUACCGCAUGACAUAUCGGAACCACAUGGUUUUGAUAUCAAAGAUUUUAUCGCUUGAAGAUGGACUCGCGUCCGAUUAGUUAGUUGGUGAGGUAACGGCUCACCAAGACCGCGAUCGGUAGCCGGACUGAGAGGUUGGACGGACACAUUGGGACUGAGACACGGCACAGACUCCUACGGGAGGCAGCAGUGGGGGAUCUUGCGCAAUGGGGGCAACCAUGACGCAGCAACGACGCGUGAAGGAUGAAGGUUUUCGGAUUGUAAACUUCUUUUAUUAAGGACGAAAAAUGACGGUACUUAAUGAAUAAGCUCCGGCUAACUACGUG
rnacentral:rRNA from 1 species